UUGAGCUGGGAUUCUUCUCUUUCUGUCCCUAUUAUUCUUGGGUUUUGUCUUUUCUUUUCAUGGUGUCCCAGAUUUCCCGGACAUUUGAAUCCCUGGUGUCUUGAAUUUUUAGAUAUAACUUUUUCUUUGACCAAUGUAUCAAUUUCUUUCUUUUGUGCCCUAGGCUCUUAUUCCCAUCGCUUGUGUUCUGCUGCUGAUGCUUAUGUCUGUAGUCCCUGUUCUCUUACCUGGAUUUUCCAUCUCCAGGAUUCCUUUGUGUUUUCUUUAUCACUUCUAUUUCCAUUUUCAGGUCUCGAACUGUUUUAGUCAUUUCCCUCACCUGUUUGCUUGUGUUUUCUUGGCUUUCUUUAAGAGAUGUAUUCAUUUCUUCCAGUUGCUUGUUUGUGUUUUCCUGGAUUUCUUUAAGAGAUUUAUUCAUUUCCUCUUCAAGGUUUUAAGGUCAUUUUCUUGUGCUUCAGCUGUGACGGGAUAUUCAUGGUUUGCUGGACUGUGACGGGAUAUUCAUGGUUUGCUGGACUGUGAUGGGAUAUUCAUGGUUUGCUGGACUUUGGUGCCACGUUGCCCUGGCUGUUGUUCCUUGUGUUCUGACACUGGCAUCUAGGCAGCUGGGUUUGGGAUGAAUACAAAUCUAGUUGCUGAUUUCUGAGUUUGUCUUGUUGGAUGGGUGUUCUGUUUCUUGGUUUCUGUUUCCUCUUUUGUCUUCCGGUCUCUGUGUUCUCUGUUUCUGGUGGCCAGUAUGACCUCCGGUUCAGCAGGGGAUCUCAGUCAGACUUGGUGGCUGGACUUGUGACAGAGUGUGGCCUUUUGUCAUCAGGUGUGUCUCUCUGUUCUGAUUGUCAUGGCCUGCACCUGAGCACUGGCUAUCCUCCUACCCAUCUCCCUGGGCUUUGGUUGAGGCUCGGGGUAGAGCACCCGUCUCGCACAUGCCAGGCCCUGGAUGUAGCCUCACCACUUCAGAACAGAAAGGCUGCAGUCCUAGUGUUAAAGCGUCUUCUCCGUUCCGCGUGUUCUCUGCGUCACUGUGCAGCGGCGAUCACUGCAGCGUUUGAACAGCUUGCUGUCCUGGCCACGCUCUGGCUCACUUCCUGCUCAUUAAGAAACUUCUGAGUUCACGUACAUCCCGGGCCUCUUCCCUCGAUGCAGGGCAGCCCGAGCGUCAGACACAGAGCCCGCCAACGCGUAUGUUAUCCAGGCUCCAACUCUACCGGUUACCUGAGAUUGGCCUCUGAUGUCCGGUGAGACAGGACCACACUUCUCCAGUCCUGCUUCUCCUCACCGCCUCGGGAUCAUCCUACCAUGACCUCUGUUUUAGAGCUUCUACUGCGUGCGAAGCACUGCCCCAGGAGCGCAGAAGCCAAAGCUGCUGCCUGGACCAGAGAGGGAAAAGGGAAAAGCUGAGUGCGCCCUAAGUGUGCCCUCUCCAUGACUCCAGGGACGGGAGGGGCGGGGGGCGCAGAGUGCCCACAGGAAAACACACACACACACACACACACACACACACACCCUAAACAGCAUGCGGAGGGCGCCAUCUUGUGGCCAUAAGUGCCAAUUACAAUUGCUAUUGUUUAGUAUGUCAAUUUUUCCUUUUUCUUUUGUAACUUCCUUUUCUAGCUCACACAUAUUUUCUUAGAUAUCGUUAGGAUAGUAUUCAAUAAAGUAUGUCUUUUGUGAUU